UGAUGCAGCGACGCCGCNUGAGGGAUGACGGCCUUCGGGUUGUAAACCUCUUUCAGUAGGGAAGAAGCGUAAGUGACGGUACCUGCAGAAGAAGCGCCGGCUAACUACGUGCCAGCAGCCGCGGUAAUACGUAGGGCGCAAGCGUUAUCCGGAAUUAUUGGGCGUAAAGAGCUCGUAGGCGGUUUGUCGCGUCUGCUGUGAAAGACCGGGGCUCAACUCCGGUUCUGCAGUGGGUACGGGCAGACUAGAGUGCAGUAGGGGAGACUGGAAUUCCUGGUGUAGCGGUGAAAUGCGCAGAUAUCAGGAGGAACACCGAUGGCGAAGGCAGGUCUCUGGGCUGUAACUGACGCUGAGGAGCGAAAGCAUGGGGAGCGAACAGGAUUAGAUACCCUGGUAGUCCAUGCCGUAAACGUUGGGCACUAGGUGUGGGGGACAUUCCACGUUUUCCGCGCCGUAGCUAACGCAUUAAGUGCCCCGCCUGGGGAGUACGGCCGCAAGGCUAAAACUCAAAGGAAUUGACGGGGGCCCGCACAAGCGGCGGAGCAUGCGGAUUAAUUCGAUGCAACGCGAAGAACCUUACCAAGGCUUGACAUGGACUGGAUCGCUGCAGAAAUGUGGUUUCCCCUUUUGGGGCUGGUUCACAGGUGGUGCAUGGUUGUCGUCAGCUCGUGUCGUGAGAUGUUGGGUUAAGUCCCGCAACGAGCGCAACCCUCGUUCUAUGUUGCCAGCGCGUUAUGGCGGGGACUCAUAGGAGACUGCCGGGGUCAACUCGGAGGAGGAGGGGACGACGUCAAAUCAUCAUGCCCCUUAUGUCUUGGGCUUCACGCAUGCUACAAUGGGCCGGUACAAAGGGUUGCGAUACUG
rnacentral:rRNA from 1 species